AUUCAAAUAGUUUAAAGAGAAAGACGUUAGCCUGUGGAGCUUAAGAUGUAAUUAUUACUUUGAAUC
rnacentral:tRNA from 1 species